rnacentral:rRNA from 1 species
GAUGAACGCUAGCAGAACGCCUAACACAUGCAAGUCGAACGAAUAUUAGUCUUCGGACUAAUGUUAGUGGCAAACGGGCGCGUAACACGUAUCUAACCUACCCUUGAGUGAGGCACAACUAUGGAGACAUAGCUAAUUCCUCAUACGCUCAUCAGAAUGAAAAUAUGAUGAGGAAAGAUUUAUCGCUCAAGGAGGGGGGUGCGGCCUAUCAGGUAGUUGGUGAGGUAAUGGCUCACCAAGCCUAUGACGGGUAGCCGGUCUGAGAGGAUGUCCGGCCGCAAUGGAACUGAGAACGGUCCAUACUCCUACGGGAGGCAGCAGUGGGGAAUAUUGGACAAUGGGCGAAAGCCUGAUCCAGCGAUUCUGCGUGAAGGAUGAAGCCUUAUGGGGUGUAAACUUCUUUUCUGGGGGAAGACGAAUGACGGUACCUCAGGAAUAAGAGACGGCUAACUACGUGCCAGCAGCCGCGGUAAUGU